rnacentral:rRNA from 1 species
CAGGACGAACGCUGGCGGCGCGCCUAACACAUGCAAGUCGAACGAGAGAUGAGGAGCUUGCUCUUCAAAUCGAGUGGCGAACGGGUGAGUAACGCGUGAGGAACCUGCCUCAAAGAGGGGGACAACAGUUGGAAACGACUGCUAAUACCGCAUAAGCCCACGGCUCGGCAUCGAGCAGAGGGAAAAGGAGUGAUCCGCUUUGAGAUGGCCUCGCGUCCGAUUAGCUAGUUGGUGAGGUAACGGCCCACCAAGGCAACGAUCGGUAGCCGGACUGAGAGGUUGAACGGCCACAUUGGGACUGAGACACGGCCCAGACUCCUACGGGAGGCAGCAGUGGGGAAUAUUGCACAAUGGGGGAAACCCUGAUGCAGCGACGCCGCGUGGAGGAAGAAGGUCUUCGGAUUGUAAACUCCUGUUGUUGAGGAAGAUAAUGACGGUACUCAACAAGGAAGUGACGGCUAACUACGUGCCAGCAGCCGCGGUAAAACGUAGGUCACAAGCGUUGUCCGGAAUUACUGGGUUUAAAGGGUGCGUAGGCGGUUUGAUAAGUUAGAGGUGAAAUUUCGGGGCUCAACCCUGAACGUGCCUCUAAUACUGUUGAGCUAGAGAGUAGUUGCGGUAGGCGGAAUGUAUGGUGUAGCGGUGAAAUGCUUAGAGAUCAUACAGAACACCGAUUGCGAAGGCAGCUUACCAAACUAUAUCUGACGUUGAGGCACGAAAGCGUGGGGAGCAAACAGGAUUAGAUACCCUGGUAGUCCACGCAGUAAACGAUGAUAACUCGUUGUCGGCGAUACACAGUCGGUGACUAAGCGAAAGCGAUAAGUUAUCCACCUGGGGAGUACGUUCGCAAGAAUGAAACUCAAAGGAAUUGACGGGGGCCCGCACAAGCGGAGGAACAUGUGGUUUAAUUCGAUGAUACGCGAGGAACCUUACCCGGGCUUGAAAGUUAGCGACGAUUCUUGAAAGAGGAUUUCCCUUCGGGGCGCGAAACUAGGUGCUGCAUGGUUGUCGUCAGCUCGUGCCGUGAGGUGUCGGGUUAAGUCCCAUAACGAGCGCAACCCCUACCGUUAGUUGCCAUCAGGUCAAGCUGGGCACUCUGGCGGGACCGCCGGUGUAAGCCGAGAGGAAGGUGGGGAUGACGUCAAAUCAGCACGGCCCUUACGUCCGGGGCUACACACGUGUUACAAUGGUAGGUACAGAGGGUAGCUACCCAGCGAUGGGAUGCGAAUCUCGAAAGCCUAUCUCAGUUCGGAUUGGAGGCUGAAACCCGCCUCCAUGAAGUUGGAUUCGCUAGUAGUCGCGCAUCAGCCAUGGCGCGGUGA